GAGCAAAACAGGGAUAUAAGAACGCAGAACAAUAGAACAGGUUUGAAAGUUGUAGCCAUAGUGAAUGAUGAAUGAUCCCUUAGAAAUGAUAAUGGACGAUGAAUUU